GACGAACGCUGGCGGCGUGCUUAACACAUGCAAGUCGAACGAAGAGCGAUGGAAGCUUGCUUCUAUCAAUCUUAGUGGCGAACGGGUGAGUAACGCGUAAUCAACCUGCCCUUCAGAGGGGGACAACAGUUGGAAACGACUGCUAAUACCGCAUACGAUCUAAUCUCGGCAUCGAGGAUAGAUGAAAGGUGGCCUCUACAUGUAAGCUAUCACUGAAGGAGGGGAUUGCGUCUGAUUAGCUAGUUGGAGGGGUAACGGCCCACCAAGGCGAUGAUCAGUAGCCGGUCUGAGAGGAUGAGCGGCCACAUUGGGACUGAGACACGGCCCAGACUCCUACGGGAGGCAGCAGUGGGGAAUCUUCCGCAAUGGACGAAAGUCUGACGGAGCAACGCCGCGUGAGUGAUGACGGCCUUCGGGUUGUAAAGCUCUGUUAAUCGGGACGAAAGGCCUUCUUGCGAAUAGUGAGAAGGAUUGACGGUACCGGAAGAGAAAGCCACGGCUAACUACGUG
rnacentral:rRNA from 1 species